AAUGAACGCUGGCGGCGUGCCUAACACAUGCAAGUCGAGCGAGAAAGUCUCUUCGGAGAUAAGUACAGCGGCGGACGGGUGAGUAACGCGUGAGAAUUUACCCUUUAGUGAAGAAUACCUCUGAGAAAUCAGGGUUAAUACUGCAUACGUCCCUACGGGGAGAAAGGAGGCCUCUUUGCUGCCGCUAAAGGAUAAGCUUGCGUACUAUUAGCUAGUUGGUGAGGUAAAGGCUCACCAAGGCGAUGAUGGUUAGCCGGCCUGAGAGGGUGUACGGCCACACUGGAACUUAGACACGGUCCAGACUCCUACGGGAGGCAGCAGUGAGGAAUAUUGCGCAAUGGGCGAAAGCCUGACGCAGCGACGCCGCGUGGAGGAUGAAGGUCUUCGGAUUGUAAACUCCUGUUAAGUGGGAAGAAAGACCUAUUUCUAAUACAGAUAGGGGAUGACGGUACCAUUAGAGAAAGCACCGGCUAACUUCGUGCCAGCAGCCGC
rnacentral:rRNA from 1 species